AAUAAGGUGCCUGAUUAAAAGGACUAUUUUGAUAGAAUAGAUCAUGUAACUUUACCCUUAUUA
rnacentral:tRNA from 1 species